rnacentral:tRNA from 1 species
GGGGAUAUAGUUCAGUGGUACAGCAUGUGCUUGGCGUGCACAAGGUUCUGGGUUCAAUCCCCUGUGCCUCCA